rnacentral:lncRNA from 1 species
UACCGUGACUCCCAUACCUUCCAAGGCCCCUGUCAAUCUUUCCCUGGCCCCAGGAAUGUGAAAAAUGUUCACAAAAGCUGCAUGCCCCUCGCCCACGAUUAUCAGCUGCUGGUGCCCACUUAUUGGGGAGAAAAGGUCAUCCCGAAACAAUCCCAGCCGGCCAAGCCUCUCAAAUCCUAACUUUACUCUCCCAACCGGCGCCUCCCUUAACAAUCCCGAAGACCCUUGCGGCCCAGGCCCCAGUUUUCCCAGCCCCGCGGCGCCGUAGCCCACCCCUUCCUCGACACCCCGAGCCCUCCCGGCUGCCGUAUGCCGUUUGUGGCGUUUGUGCUGAAGUGGGUUGGGGGUUAGGGGCUGGGAUUCCCGGCCCAAGAAAGUGUACUUGUGACCUUGGGCUGGAGAAAGUUGCUCCCAGGUCACCUACUCCGAGGCUUAGAGGUGGGGGAGGGGGCUCCAGACGUCCAGACAGUCCCUUUUGGGUCCCAGAAACGCUGAGCCUGCGGCAGGAGCGGCUAGCUGGGUUCUCCCGUACCGGGACGCGGUGGUCUAGCUCCCCAUCCUUCUGCAUCUUGAAAAGCGAAGGAAACGGCCCCACCAAGGCUAAAGGAGAGGAACAACGAAUGCGGCUGGCUGAGAGCCCCCGCAAGGGCCGGCCUGCGCCAGGCUGGCCCCGACAGAAGCGUGGUGAGCAGAGCUUUCCCGGAAGGAGCAGGCUGGGCAUUUGGUGCCCAGUUCCGCCCGGGGACAAGGUGGCACUUCUGGUGGCCCUACCCAGGCGGGUCCCACUUGCUUCUCAGGCGCUCCGGGCCGGGCGUGGAGUGCUACCCAGUUGGAAGUGUCGAAGGAGAAAGCGAGGGGCUAAUUUUGUCGCUUUCUUUCGUGCCGGAUUUGCCCCUCGGGUCAAGAACGUGGCCGCGGUCGGACCCCAGCGUGGACCAUUUGCAUUCGCCUGGGUUUUAAAUUCUUCACUACAUCCGAGGGUCGGAGCAGAUGUAGCUACAGAAGGGACAACGCGUUUUCGUGAAAUCUAUCUCUUGCAACAUAUUAAAUCUUCUGGUCAGAAGAGAAGGAGAAAUUCAAAGGCAGUUAGAGGAGGAGAGAGAAACCACGCUGGAGACAAAUGCGAUCCGUGCAGGUGUUGGAGCAGCUUGCGUUAUAAUUGUAUCUAGCGAAAAGGUUGCCUUUAUUACCCGUAAUGAUCGAACAAAAGUCACCGUAAUUAAACGUCUGGUUUUCUCCGAUGACUGAGAGGUG